UCCAGACUCCUACGGGAGGCAGCAGUGGGGGAUAUUGCACAAUGGGGGAAACCCUGAUGCAGCGACGCCGCGUGUGGGAAGACGGUCCUCUGGAUUGUAAACCACUGUCCCCAGGGACGAAAAUGACGGUACCUGGGGAGGAAGCUCCGGCUAACUACGUGCCAGCAGCCGCGGUAAUACGUAGGGGGCAAGCGUUAUCCGGAUUCACUGGGUGUAAAGGGAGCGUAGACGGCGACGCAAGUCUGGAGUGAAAGCCCGGGGCCCAACCCCGGGACUGCUUUGGAAACUGUAUGGCUGGAGUGCAGGAGAGGUAAGUGGAAUUCCUAGUGUAGCGGUGAAAUGCGUAGAUAUUAGGAGGAACACCAGUGGCGAAGGCGGCUUACUGGACUGUAACUGACGUUGAGGCUCGAAAGCGUGGGGAGCAAACAGGAUUAGAUACCCGGUAAU
rnacentral:rRNA from 1 species